GAUGAACGCUGGCGGCGUGCCUAACACAUGCAAGUCGAACGUGAAGCCUUCAAUGAUUACUUCGGUAUGAAAUGUUGGUGGAAAGUGGCGAACGGGUGAGUAACACGUAGGUGACCUGCCUCGGAGUGGGGGAUAACCAUUGGAAACGAUGGCUAAUACCGCAUGGCUUUGCUCAAGUGGGAACUUGGGUAAAUAAAGCUCUGGCGCUCUGAGAGGGGCCUGCGUCCGAUUAGCUAGUUGGCGGGGUAAUGGCCCACCAAGGCGACGAUCGGUAGCUGGUCUGAGAGGACGAUCAGUCACACGGGAACUGAGACACGGUCCCGACUCCUACGGGGGGCAGCAGUGAGGAAUAUUCGGCAAUGGGGGCAACCCUGACCGAGCAACGCCGCGUGGAGGAUGAAGGCCUUUGGGUCGUAAACUCCUUUUCUGUGGGAAGAGACAAAGGACGGUACCACAGGAAUAAGUCACGGCUAACUACGUGCCAGCCGCCGCCGUAACAC
rnacentral:rRNA from 1 species